ACGGAAGGCAGCAGUGGGGGAUAUUGCGCAAUGGGGGCAACCCUGACGCAGCAACGCCGCGUGUGGGAAGAAGCAUUUCGGUGUGUAAACCACUGUCGUGAGGGAAUAAUGCUUAAUUUCGGUUAAGUUGAAUGUACCUCGAAAGGAAGCACCGGCAAACUUCGUGCCAGCAGCCGCGGUAAUACGAGGGGUGCAAGCGUUGUUCGGAAUCACUGGGCGUAAAGGGAGCGCAGGCGGAGAUGCAAGCAGUCUGUACAAUACCGGGGCCCAACCCCGGACCUGCAGACUGGACUGUUUCUCUUGGAUAGUUCAGGGGCAAGCGGAAGUCCUGAUGUAGCGGUGGAAUGCGUAGAGAUCAGGAAGAACACCGAUGGCGAAGGCAGCUUGCUGGGGACUUAUCGACGCUCAUGCUCGAAAGUGCGGGUAGCAAACAGGAUUAGAUACCCUGGUA
rnacentral:rRNA from 1 species